CUCAAAGAUCCGUCACACGUUGCGCGUAUGGGCGAUUAGGUUUCGUGUAAAAAAGAAUCGAUCGAUGCGCCACCAUCCGUGCAAAGCGAAUACUAAGGGAAGAAGAAGAAGGAGAAGGAGAAGGAGAAGGGACGAAGUCCCGGUUCCCUCGUCACGGAAAUCAGAUAUCGGAUGGCGACGCGGCUUCCUCCUCCUCGUUUCCCCCUUAUUACUAUUAUUAUUAUUAUAAUACCGGUGCGCGUGUGGUGCAACCCUUUUGUCGAGGCGUGACAGGUGCGAGCGCUACGAGUGUGACGUAACGAGGUACCGUUAUAGGAGCGCGAUGCACACGCACGCAUCGAGCGAGAAACCCCGAGUAAGAAUGCGAGGCGAGCGAGGCGGCGCGGAACGGAAUGGAACGGAACGGGACGGGACGGAACGGAAUGGGACGGGACGGAACGGAACGAGGAACGGUCGCCGCGAAAUUCUGUCCUCCCCGAGUGUUUGUGAAAGUGACAUGGAGGAAAGGAUAUGUGGAACGGCAGGAAGCAGAAAGCGGGAAAUUAAGGCAAACGCCGUCGCAACGCGGCGGAAAAUUGAUCUCACGUGUGGACACGAGCAACGAGUUCCAACUUUCACGAAUAUUCGUCCCGCUCGUUGAAAGCGGUUCGAAAUCCGGAUUCGACGAAAAGCCUUUCGAUGCUUGCUUCUACCCCGUGGAAAUGUGCACG